GAUGAACGCUGGCGGCGUGCCUAAUACAUGCAAGUCGAGCGAACAGAUGAGGAGCUUGCUCCUCUGACGUUAGCGGCGGACGGGUGAGUAACACGUGGAUAACCUACCUAUAAGACUGGGAUAACUUCGGGAAACCGGAGCUAAUACCGGAUAAUAUAUUGAACCGCAUGGUUCAAUAGUGAAAGACGGUUUUGCUGUCACUUAUAGAUGGAUCCGCGCCGCAUUAGCUAGUUGGUAAGGUAACGGCUUACCAAGGCAACGAUGCGUAGCCGACCUGAGAGGGUGAUCGGCCACACUGGAACUGAGACACUGUCCAGACUCCUACGGGAGGCAGCAGUAGGGAAUCUUCCGCAACGGGCGAAAGCCUGACGGAGCAACGCCGCGUGAGUGAUGAAGGUCUUCGGAUCGUAAAACUCUGUUAUUAGGGAAGAACAAAUGUGUAAGUAACUAUGCACGUCUUGACGGUACCUAAUCAGAAAGCCACGGCUAACUACGUG
rnacentral:rRNA from 1 species